CCUACGGGGGGCAGCAGUGGGGAAUAUUGGACAAUGGGGCAACCCUGAUCCAGCCAUGCCGCGUGUGUGAAGAAGGCCCUCGGGUUGUAAAGCACUUUCAGUGAGGAAGAACGCCUGGUGGUUAAUACCCAUCAGGAAAGACAUCACUCACAGAAGAAGCACCGGCUAACUCCGUGCCAGCAGCCGCGGUAAUACGGAGGGUGCGAGCGUUACUCGGAAUUACUGGGCGUAAAGCGCGCGUAGGUGGCUUGAUAAGCCGGUUGUGAAAGCCCCGGGCUCAACCUGGGAACGGCAUCCGGAACUGUCAAGCUAGAGUGCAGGAGAGGAAGGUAGAAUUCCCGGUGUAGCGGUGAAAUGCGUAGAGAUCGGGAGGAAUACCAGUGGCGAAGGCGGCCUUCUGGACUGACACUGACACUGAGGUGCGAAAGCGUGGGUAGCAAACAGGAUUAGAUACCCCAGUAGUC
rnacentral:rRNA from 1 species